AGCAGCCGCGGUAAUUCCAGCUCCAAUAGCGUAUAUUAAAGUUGUUGCAGUUAAAAGCUCGUAGUUGAAUUUCGAGACCGGCCUACUGGUCGUGCUUUUGUACGUACUGGUAUAUCGGUUUCUCCUUUCUGACGAACUAUAAUGCCAUUAAUUUGGUGUUAUAGGGAAUCAGGACUGUUACUUUGAAAAAUUAGAGUGUUUAAAGCAGGCUCACGCUUGAAUACAUUAGCAUGGAAUAACGGAAUAGGACGUUUGAUUCUAUUUUGUUGGUUUCUAGGAUCGACGUAAUGAUUAAUAGGGAUAGUUGGGGGCAUUAGUAUUCAAUUGUCAGAGGUGAAAUUCUUGGAUUUAUUGAAGACUAACUACUGCGAAAGCAUUUGCCAAGGAUGUUUUCAUUAAU
rnacentral:rRNA from 1 species